CUCCCCAUGUUGCUAGAUACACUUUUAAACCACAUUUUUGAAAAGCCUUUUUACCGCAGAGAUGGAGAGACGCCAGAUUCACCGCCUUCUACUGGUGAAUGGAGUGGCUGUACCUGCCGGUGAGCUGGAGGCUUUCCAGCCUGGAAGUCUCCUCCCUCCCACUGCCACCAGCCGGCCUGGCCCUCACCUCACCAGGCACACCGUCCCCACAGGCGGAGAGCCCUUCUGGGCGUUUUGUUUAGAGUCGCUGAGUCUUUCACCAUGUAGCAGUUGCCCUCCCGAGCCUGGCACGGCAGGUGGACCCAGGGCCCUGAGGGGCGACAGCCACCUCGACAUGCCGACAUGGUCCCUUAGGGAGUACUUUUCAGAACCCCAGAGAAGUAGCCUGGAGUGUGUGCAGGGAACGAAAACACCUGAAGGAAUUCUCUACUAAAAGCCACGUGGAAGAAAAUUUGACAUUUGAGGAAAAGUGUUAGUGCGAAGAUUUUGAUGCAAAGAAGGACUCAAGUCUUAGACCUGAAAAAACCCGCAGGUGCAAGGGUGGAGAUGACGGGGCCUUCUGGCAGGCUGGCUGCUUCCCAGCCCACCCUGCUCUGCUGCCAGGAGGGGCACAACGCUGUCCACCCGGCUCUGGUUAACGGUCCAGAGGAGAUGAUGGGUCCAGCCAUAGGCCACAGCACGUGGACUCUGGUAAUGCUGUCUUGCUGUCCCUUUGACUGGGGAUGGGAUGCCCGGCCCCAAGUGUGGGUGCUCCUUGAGGCUUCUGGAGGCCUCCCGCCUGGCCCCUGGUUUUCUGUCACCUGCCCUUUACCUGCCUCCCAGUAGAACUGGAAUCCCACAUGCUCUGCCUGCCUCCCGCUGGUCUUAGGAGAGCACCUGGAGAGGUCAGAUGCCCUCUGGACAUUGAGAACCAGAGGGCCGAGGGCCUUGAAUGCCUGGGAAGGUGGAAAGCCAGUGAGAAGGGGGGAAGGUGGGAGCUGGUUGUGACAGGAAUGCAAGGGGCUUGCCUGACUCGUGAUGGCAGCCCUGCUCUACCUUAGCUGGCAUGUUACGUGGGUGGUAAGGGACUGAGGGGGAUCACAGAGUGUGUAAGUUCUCCCCCCAGGAGACAUAUUCAAAGUAAUUACAACCAGUGUUACCAGGACCCAGCCAAUCAGAAGGGCCUGUGGGCCACAUCAUGGGUGCCAGGCAUGAAUCUGGUGGUGCCUUCCAGAGAAGGCCACAGGCAGUCAGGGGUGCUGAAGGCACGCCAGAAGCUUUAAUGGGUUUCAGUAUUUUUAAGUACCAGAAGAGCCGCCCUGGUGAGCAUGGCUGGUGUGCACGGCUCUGGCUCCCUGAGCCCCUACCUUGGGGCCAGCUGCAGGGAGCUCUGUAGCCAGGGAGGCCAGCAAGGAGGCCUUUCUGACAGGCCACAGUGAUGAGGGAAGGAGGCUGAGGCAGAAGGGACAGAGGAGGAGUUUGGGCUGGAGAGUGAAUUGGGAGGCUGCUUAC